AGCGGGUGCUGAUUAAAGGCGCCGCCUGCCGCUUUCUCCUCGCCUCCCCCCCCCAACGCCCGUCUCCCCGCCCCCUUUCCGAGUAGCGGGACCAGCCUUGAUGUAGGGACACCCCUUCCCCCCUCCUCUUCUAUCGCCCUUAUCCGGGAGCCCCGAGCGCCGCAAUCCUCCUGCCUUCUCCCGCCCCCAUCUUGCCCUCUUCACUCUGCUUCGAACCCAUUGUAUGCGGGGCAGCUGCGAACCGGGGCCGGAGACAGUGUGCCCAGUGUGCCCCGUCAGUGGGUCCCGCGGGCCGAGGCUCUCCCCCACCCGUGCUGCUCCAGGCAGAGGCGAGAGAGGCCCUUCCUCGCUGCGCUGGUGGCGGGGACCGGCGGGCCGCACCCCCAACCCCAGCGUGAGCCCCUAGUGUCCCUUCUUAGAGGGAAGAAAGCGGAGAGACCUGAGACAGAAAAAAAGCAGCUUCUAACUGCCCGGCCCGCUGAUCAUUUUUAUUAUCGAGAUUAUUAUUAAAAGGGGGCGGGACCCCAGGAUGCGGAGAAGGGGGCCAGAGACGCAGCUAUUUCUAUUAAACAGAUUAUUCUUGAAAUAAUACACGCAAGAUGGCUGAA
rnacentral:lncRNA from 1 species